rnacentral:rRNA from 1 species
UGGGGAAUUUUGGGCAAUGGGGGCAACCCUGACCCAGCAACGCCGCGUGAAGGACGAAAUCCCUCUGGGAUGUAAACUUCGAAAGUUGGGGAAGAAAUCCGGGUGAAGAAUAUGCACCCGGGAUGACGGUACCCAACGUAAGCCCCGGCUAACUACGUGCCAGCAGCCGCGGUAAUACGUAGGGGGCAAGCGUUGUUCGGAAUUACUGGGCGUAAAGGGCGCGUAGGCGGUACGACAAGUCUGGAGUGAAAGCCCGGGGCUCAACCCCGGAAUGUCUUUGGAAACUGUCGAACUUGAGUGCGGAAGAGGCAUCUGGAAUUCCCAGUGUAGCGGUGAAAUGCGUAGAUAUUGGGAAGAACACCUGAGGCGAAGGCGGGAUGCUGGGCCGACACUGACGCUGAGGCGCGAAAGCCAGGGGAGCGAACGG